CAGUAGCCGCGGGAAUACAGAGGAUGCAAGCGUUAUCCGGAAUGAUUGGGCGUAAAGCGUCUGUAGGUGGCUUUUCAAGUCCGCCGUCAAAUCCCAGGGCCCAACCCUGGACAGGCGGUGGAAACUACCAAGCUGGAGUACGGUAGGGGCAGAGGGAAUUUCCGGUGGAGCGGUGAAAUGCGCUGAGAUCGGAAAGAACACCAACGGCGAAGGCACUCUGCUGGGCCGACACUGACACUGAGAGACUAAAGCUAGGGGAGCAAAUGGGAUUAGAUACCCGCGUAGUCCCUGUCUCUUAUAC
rnacentral:rRNA from 1 species